AUUGAACGCUGGCGGCAUGCCUUACACAUGCAAGUCGAACGGCAGCACGGGAGCAAUCCUGGUGGCGAGUGGCGAACGGGUGAGUAAAGUAUCGGAACGUGCCCAGUCGUGGGGGAUAACGUAGCGAAAGUUACGCUAAUACCGCAUACGAUCUAUGGAUGAAAGCGGGGGAUCGCAAGACCUCGCGCGAUUGGAGCGGCCGAUAUCAGAUUAGGUAGUUGGUGGGGUAAAGGCUCACCAAGCCGACGAUCUGUAGCUGGUCUGAGAGGACGGCCAGCCACACUGGGACUGAAACACGGCCCAGACUCCUACGGGAGGCAGCAGUGGGGAAUUUUGGACAAUGGGCGCAAGCCUGAUCCAGCCAUGCCGCGUGCAGGAUGAAGGCCUUCGGGUUGUAAACUGCUGUUGUACGGAACGAAAAGGUUUGACUUAAUACGUUGGACUCAUGACGGUACCGUAAGAAUAAGCACCGGCUAACUACGUGCCAGCCGCCGCCGUAA
rnacentral:rRNA from 1 species